UACGGGGGGAGCAAGCGUUGUUCGGAUUUACUGGGCGUAAAGGGCGCGUAGGCGGCCACUGCAAGUCAGUUGUGAAAUCUCCGGGCUUAACUCGGAAAGGUCAACUGAUACUGCAGGGCUAGAGUGCAGAAGGGGCAACUGGAAUUCUCGGUGUAGCGGUGAAAUGCGUAGAUAUCGAGAGGGACACCUGCGGCGAAGGCGGGUUGCUGGGCUGACACUGACGCUGAAGCGCGAAAGCCAGGGGAGCGAACGGG
rnacentral:rRNA from 1 species